rnacentral:rRNA from 1 species
GUAGGUGGCAAGCGUUGUCCGGAAUUAUUGGGCGUAAAGCGCGCGCAGGCGGUUCUUUAAGUCUGAUGUGAAAGCCCACGGGCUCAACCGUGGAGGGUCAUUGGAAACUGGAGAACUUGAGUACAGAAGAGGAAAGCGGAAUUCCACGUGUAGCGGUGAAAUGCGUAGAGACGUGGAGGAACACCAGUGGCGAAGGCGGCUUUCUGGUCUGUAACUGACGCUGAGGCGCGAAAGCGUGGGGAGCAAACAGGAUUAGAUACCCUGGUAGUCCACGCCGUAAACGAUGAGUGCUAAGUGUUAGGGGGUUUCCGCCCCCUAGUGCUGCAGCUAACGCAUUAAGCACUCCGCCUGGGGAGUACGGCCGCAAAGGCUG